UGGACAUUAUUAAUACUCAAGAAAAUUUGAGUAAAUGGAAAAACAUUGAUGUUACUAAAUGGACAAUUACAGAACAGCUAAAAAGGCCUAUCCAGAAAGACAGUUCAUCUUGUGGUCUAUUUAUGCUUAAAUUCAUGGAAUAUUGGACCGGACAUGCAUUGUCCCAUCUAAUUACACAGGAAAUUAUCACUUCUUUCAGAUAUAAGUUAGCUGCCAUACUCUUGUGUUGGAAAAACAACACAGCGCCACCGACUACAAUGUUUGAAGAAAUUGUUGACAGUGAAGGACAUCCGGAUGAUGUUAUAAUGUCGGACAAACCUUUUGAUCAAAAUCAACCAAAUGACAAUAACUCUUUAUCUGCUGAAAACAAA